AGAUUGAACGCUGGCGGCAUGCCUUACACAUGCAAGUCGAACGGUAACAGGUCUUCGGACGCUGACGAGUGGCGAACGGGUGAGUAAUACAUCGGAACGUGCCCAGUCGUGGGGGGUAACUACUCGAAAGAGUAGCUAAUACCGCAUACGAUCUGAGGAUGAAAGCGGGGGACCUUCGGGCCUCGCGCGAUUGGAGCGGCCGAUGGCAGAUUAGGUAGUUGGUGGGAUAAAAGCUUACCAAGCCGACGAUCUGUAGCUGGUCUGAGAGGACGACCAGCCACACUGGGACUGAGACACGGCCCAGACCUCCGUACGGGAGGCAGCA
rnacentral:rRNA from 1 species